GUGCCAGCAGCCGCGGUAAUACAGAGGUCCCAAGCGUUGUUCGGAUUCACUGGGCGUAAAGGGUGCGUAGGUGGUCGGGUAAGUCUGAUGUGAAAUCUCCGAGCCUAACUCGGAAACUGCAUCGGAUACUAUUCGGCUUGAGGGUUGGAGGGGGGACUGGAAUACUUGGUGUAGCAGUGAAAUGCGUAGAUAUCAAGUGGAACACCAGUGGCGAAGGCGAGUCCCUGGACAACUCCUGACACUGAGGCACGAAAGCUAGGGGAGCAAACAGGAUUAGAUACCCCGGUAGUCC
rnacentral:rRNA from 1 species